ACUCCUCUUGUUUUAUAUACAUUGAUACCAGACUCUUUCCAGCACUCUCACAUAUAACGUGAUCAAACAUGUUCACAUUUCUCUCCACUGUUACUGUCUCACUGCUCUGUGCUGCAGGUCUUGUUGAGGGGAGUGAAGUCACUCAGACACCCACCAUACUCUGGGAACUGAAAGACAGGGAUGCUCUGAUGAACUGCAGUCACACUAAGGGUCUAAGCUACUUCCAGAUGUACUGGUACAGACAGCUUCCAGGAGAGGGAAUGAAGCAGGUAGCCUUCACUACUCCCAGUUCCAAACCUGAGUAUUCAGGGGAUUUCAGUGAAGACAAAUUAUCAGCCAACAAGACUGUAGCUGAGAGGGGAUCUUUCACAGUGAAGAAGUUGGAGGCAGGAGACAGCGGCAUGUACUUCUGUGCUGUGAGUCAACACAGUGAUACAGACAACAAGUACAGCUGCACAAAAACCCCAGUAUUUCAAUAG